UACGUAGGGGGCUAGCGUUGUCCGGAUUUAUUGGGCGUAAAGAGCGUGUAGGCGGCCAGGUAGGUCCGGUGUCAAAACUCGAGGCUUAACCUCGAGAUGUCAUCGGAAACCAUCUGGCUAGAGUCCGGAAGAGGAAAGUGGAAUUCCUGGUGUAGCGGUGAAAUGCGCAGAUAUCAGGAAGAACACCAAUGGCGAAAGCAGCUUUCUGGGACGGUACUGACGCUGAGACGCGAAAGCGUGGGGAGCGAACAGG
rnacentral:rRNA from 1 species